rnacentral:rRNA from 1 species
UACGUAGGGUGCAAGCGUUAAUCGGAAUUACUGGGCGUAAAGCGUGCGCAGGCGGUUGGGCAAGACAGAUGUGAAAUCCCCGGGCUUAACCUGGGAAUGGCAUUUGUGACUGUCCGGCUAGAGUGUGUCAGAGGGGGGUAGAAUUCCACGUGUAGCAGUGAAAUGCGUAGAUAUGUGGAGGAAUACCGAUGGCGAAGGCCAGCCCCCUGGGAUAACACUGACG